AAAAGGGGGAGAAAUAUCUGAAUAUUUGUUCAUAAUGCUUUAUGUUUUGAAUUGAAUACAAACCAGCUUAAAUUUAGAUAUGUUGAUUAUGUUAAGCUGAUUAAAUCUAAAGCAUUAUCAAGAAGUAUGUUUUAAAUAUAUAUCUUUUCUACUUCAUGCAACUUAGCUAUGCACUACUUCUAGAACACAAUAUAUUUUAUAUUGCAUAUACUCCAAGUUUUGUCAUCAUCAAAAAGGGGGAGACUGAUGACCCAAAGAUUGAUUUAAAGAUUGAUUUUGAUGAUCACAAAACCUUGAAGUAUAAAUACUAAUGUUUGUGUUGCAAGAAGAAAGAUUAUUUAGUUUGCAAGGAACAUAGCAAGUUGGAAGAAUUCAAGAAGGCCUCCAAAGCUCUCAAAAAAAGUUGGAAGAAAGCCACACCUCAUUGGCCCAAGAUUCAAGUUCAAAGGCUUCAAUCUAGAAGAGCAAGUUUUAAGAAAAAUUCAAAGGAAAGGCACUCGAGUCGACUCCUACAGUUCCGAGUCGACUCCAAGAAGCAACAGACAGCCGGACAGAAAGAUUUAUCUCAGAAACUGUCAACGAGUCGACUCCUGAAGAGCGCGAGUCGACUCCGAUGCUUGUCGAGUCGACUCCUGGAUAGUACGAGUCGACUCC
rnacentral:lncRNA from 1 species